CCCUUAGAUGUUCUGGGCCGCACGCGCGCUACACUGACGAAGUCAGCGAGCAUGUCCUACGCCGACAGGUGCGGGGAAUCUUGUCAAACUUCGUCGUGAUGGGGAUUGAUUAUUGAAAUUCUUGAUCAUCAACGAGGAAUUCCUAGUAAGCACAAGUCAGCAGCUUGCGUUGAUUACGUCCCUGCCCUUUGUACACACCGCCCGUCGCUACUACCGAUUGAAUGGUUUAGUGAGAUCUUCGGAUUGGCGCCACUGCGGCUCAGCAAUGGGCUCGGUGGAUGCCGAAAAGUUGAUCAAACUUGAUCAUUUAGAGGAAGUAAAAGUCGUAACA
rnacentral:rRNA from 1 species